AUUGACUGUUCUAGACUCGCCGUCCUGUCAUGGGUCCCUUCAACCUAACGAUUUUCCUUGGCCUUGAUUUUUUUCCAGUCAAUGCCGUUAAGGUUAUGACAACCCAGCUGGUUUUUAUUUAUAAAGUGGUGAUUAUUGAUUUCGUGUUUGUUGGGGUGUGGCGGGGCGUAUUAAGGAAAGGACGUGUGACGUGCGACAUAAUAAUAAUACAACUGUGGGUGUUGGCGUUGCCAGGACUUCAGUCGUGUAACAGCCGGCGCAAGCAAGACACUUCACGACUGUAGUAUAUGCUUUCAUGUUUUAGACAUAUCUUGGAAUGAUCUGGAUAUUAACUGUUCCCACUUUGCCCAUACCUGAAAAACUAUUUCCCCCGUGCCUCAGGUGUUUCAGACUUACACGCACGCAUGCUCUCUCUCUCUUGAAUAGAAAAAUACACAGAGCCACGUGACUACUAUUGUAAACACUUCAACACCACAGGCGUGUUACCUUGACCUCAGUAUUGCUAGCUAAACAGCUCUUGUCGGUUUUUCGUUACAAUUCUAUUGACGGCCAAGGUUGCUGUGAUUAUAUAGAGAUACACUUCCAGAUUGGCUGUGGCUGAUAAGUCCAGAGAGUUAAGCGAGAGGAAAGGUUACUGAUCCUUUUUCUCGCUUCUAUCAUUAGUAUUUCUGCAUCGUUCACUUCACCCCCUCUCCUACUCUCCUCCGGAAGAAUCUGACUCAAAAGAUGCACAUUGCAGAGUCAGAAAUACUUUCGAUUGUGGCUGCAUGAACCCACGGCUGCUUCUUGAAGAUGUCACGGAGGAGGGCGAGGGGAUAACUACUGGACCUGUCUGUGACGUGUCUGCAUCUCGCGGUGUAACACAUACAGACUUUAUUUUAAUCGCUCACAGCGUCUGCGACAAGUCACACUUGUCACGUGCAGUGCGGCGUCUAAAUGCAGGUGCUGCAAGUCACGUGUGCUGAGCUUUGUGUUCGCAAGAUUGUGUUUCGUACGAGAUUUUGUUGCAACACGAAGCUAGCUCACAGCGCCGGGCGGGAUGACAUGUCAAUACUGAGUAAACAGGAUACAUUCAUUGACAACAUUAUAUACACACUUUUUAUGAAUAGCAGUUGUCUGCAAGGUAGUUUAUGUAAAGUGUUUCUUUACUGGUUUAGAACUGUUUACAUUAAACAAAUUAUUUGAUGUAGGAAGUUAUGUAUGGUAGUACAUUAGGGUGGGCCACUUAAAGAUUGAGAACGCUCUUGGGACUUGGAGCAGUUGAGUUAUAUUUAUUUAUGAAAAUCCCGAGACCACAGAAAAAUUAUUUUACCCCUUUUUUGUACAUUUCAAAUAACAGUUUUUUUUUUUAAUUAGUGGCACACCUUAUAUUAGUAUAUGACACAUAACUUUUGUCCGUAAACCAGUCGCAGUACAGUAAUUUUCACAUUUCAACAAUACGGAAGAACGUUGAGGAAGCAUUUCCCAUCUUGCUGGAGUGUUAACGACAAUAUUGUUGAUUAAUAUUACAUUUUACAUAUUAGAUAUUACAUUUCCCACAAGUCUUACUUCGUGCAGUUGACUUAAGUCAACUUAAGUUUAUAUUUCUGGUCAGUGAAGUAGAAAAAUAAAUGUAUAUACUAAAAACGUUUAAUACAGAUAUAUUGUGCUUGUAAAUAUCUAGGUGAUGUUCAAUGUAUGCAGCAGUCCUGCCAAAAAAAAAAGUAGCAAACUCCCCAACUGUCUCCAAAAAUUACGUUUCUUUUCUUACAGAAACUAGAGUGGAGGCUACCCCACAAUUUUCUAUCUACUUUUUUCGUGGCUUUAUGCAAACAAAUGAUAAUGGAAUAAAGUUUAAAGAAGGAAACAAAUUACAUUUCCCUACGAUGACUGCACCUUUUCUAUCCCAUCUUUCACAGAGUUAAAAAUAACCAAUUCUGAACAAGAUUGGUCAAGAAUUAUUUUCGUAAUUUCAAUCAACAGCUUUAGAGAAUAACUAUGACAGAUUUAACACACCCUGCCCGAGGUAGCGACAUCUUGCUUCCGCUUUGACAUCAGUCUCGCACGUUCAGUGGAAACUAUCCGACACGGUCUGUUGCAUCUAAUGAGGCACAUAAGGUUCCGCAGCUGGCGUAACAAAUAGAAGAGUUUGAGCCUGUCGUACUUUGAAAGAGUUCUGACGUCACCAGGCGCCAUCUUGGCAGUCCAGCUGUCCAACAUAUGUGAUGAACAUGAUCAUGGAAUAGUUUUCCGACUUUCCUAUUACGCGUGCCCCAAAUCCCCACGGCGCAAAGGCAACUGAAAACAAGGCAACGAUUAGUACCAGGGCGACGAUUUCAUUACAGAAUAGUUGUCUGUUUAAAUUAACUUCCGGAAGAGCGUCUCGGCACAAACUUGUACGUCUCGGCUGCACGAUACGAUUUGGUCUCGUCAUCUGCUGUAAAGAAUCUGACAUCGCAGGGAAGAGGUGCCAAUUGCACCGAAGCAGACCGGGUGAUCAAUGUCGCAUCAUGCUCAGGUUGACGAUGUAAACAUGUCGUGGUGCUUACAGCUAAGCAUGCUGAGCUCGUCGUCUCGGACUUACUGUCGUGUUGUGACUGCUUGUACAAGACUAAGCCUCUUCAGGUGUUCACAUCCCUCUUCCACCUUAAAUCCUUCCCUUUGCUUCCUUCCCUAUCCUUCUGACUGCCUACUUUUUUUGCUUUUUACGAACAGACUUGCUUUGUAUGACUUUUUGCAUGAUUUCACUCAUAAAACUGCCAGUAAAUUUCAACAAUGGAGGAUAUUUGCGAGAUAUCUUAUGUUCAGUAAAAAGAUAUACGAUCUUGAAAUCCAACCGCGUUUUCAGCUCGUUUCUGCCGCUCGAGUUUGUGUGUGCACUGAGCAACGACUGUAAACACCAGAAAGCUGAAGUGGUAGAGAGAGAGAGAGAAACGGAGAGAGAAGACUGAUUACAACAUCUAUAACUACUAUUUCCUAUCAAAGCUGAGCAUCACGGGACUAAGCUGACAUGGUAAAUGGCCUUUGACGAACUAUGUCGACUUGGAUGUCUAGGACUAACACUGUGUACCAGAAGAUAAAGAGACGAAAAUAAAAGCACAACAAAAUUUGCCUCAGAAGACUGUUGGACCCCUGCAAAUCUGCGAUUUUGUUUGGUGGUGGUGGUAGCUCUGUUGUUUGCUGUUGGGUUUUGUUUUUGUUUUUUGUUUGUUUGUUUGUUUGUUUGUUUUGGGGGGUCAUCUUUUACAGAUGUAUUAAUCAUACAAUCCUGACCAGAUAUGUAUACUGGACCUGUGUGCAUAUGUGUGUGUUUGUGUGUCUGUGUUGUUCUUCUCGAUGAUACUUUACUAUUUCUGUCAAAGUCUAAUAUUUUUUUUUCUUUAUUCACCUGUCUCGGUACUCAAAUCUGUAUCAGAUUUCAUCUAUUACGCUAUUUUUGUCUCAUCAGUCAAAGCCGUGUUACGUGCUGUCGUCCACAUCGCUCUCUCACCACUCACAUUUAAUUCCUUUAUUGAUUCACGGUCUACAUCAUCCUAGAAAAAUAUCUCUGUUUCUAGUCUAAGUAAUUUACUACAAUUAUACAGACUAAUAUAUCAUUUAUACAAAUGGUAGUGUGUGCUGGCCUGCCUAAUAGGACGAGGAAGAUUAAUUGGAGGUUUCCUGAUUAAUCUUUGUCGGCGCGAGAAUAUCUAAUGUCUGUGGCCUAAUCUGCGCAGGAAAGAGUGUCAAGAGUGGCCGCUCGUGCCAAUGUUCCCAGACGUGUCCCUGUCGGUCUGCUGGUUGUGCGGGGAUCCCAGACAGGAUGGCCGCCGCACCGUGUGAAGGUUGUACCGAAGGGAUCCAAGUAUGCUCUGUACCUGGAAAUUGUACUUGCAGUAAGAAGUGUACAGGGAAGCUGUAGUCAGUACAGAGCACUAUCCUCGACAAGCUCAGUCAUGGCGGACAAAGUUCAUUUUGAAAAGCUUGGCUGAAUCUUUCUUUCCAAUUAAAAAAAAAGGCGGUCUACGUCUGGAACUGUCUGUCGACGGGACAGCAGUAGAUGUUAAUUAGGUCUACGUAACAAGCAAUCUUUUAUUCACGAACUAAAAACAUCGCACUAAAAUGUGUACACUUGUGGAGUGAGGUGAGGACUCCUCUAUCUCAUAACUUCCAUUUCAAAAAGUUUAUUUAGGAUUAUAAAAUAUAUUUGUAUGUGUUAGAGAUAUCUUAUCAUGUUUUAUAGUUAUUUUUCUUGUCCAUUUUUAUCUUUGAGUCUGAUAAUUACGAUAAUUUAUUAAUUUAGAGAGUCACUUACACAAGGAAACGUCUAGUAGAGGUGAAGGGGUAGUCCGCUAAGUACCCUCCAUUUCAGCUAACUUGGACAUAGAAGUGUACUGAGACAGAAAUCGUUGGCGUAUUGAAAAACAGUGUGCUUUGUAUUUGAGUGUCACCUGUUGUGUUGUUUGUAGACCUCGCUUGUUGGAGUGGGGGAGGGGAUAUGAAUUAGCUUGCAGUUUCACC